AAAGCAGUGGGGUGGGGUUAAAAAUAGACGAGUGAGCUCACAGUCACACAGACGGGCCCUUCUGUGAGGAGAGUGCCAAGCACUGGAGAGAAAAACGUGGGCAGAAAAGGAAGGUUAGCUGUGGAUCCGGGAAGUGGAGGUGUUGCCCACCCCACUGGAGGAAGCUAGGGCUUGUGUUUAGUGGGCCACAGGAGCUUGGGUUGGGGUGACAGCUCAUGAGGUGGCAUUUCCUGAGUCAUGAUACCAUCCACACUGAUAGUCACAUGCCCAAGCCAGAGCCAGAUGCCAGCCUAGCAAAGCCAAGGUCAGGCUGAGCUCAGAAAUGAGAGGUAGGAGGCUGCACGUGGGAGACCAGCACGGGGAGUAAGAUGGGCGUUAGAGACCAGAAAGCAAACCAAGGACGUCCAGACUGGAGUGUGGAGUUGGACAGACUCAAGUCAGAUGGAAGGUGAGCAGUGUUCGCACACGGCCAGUAUCAUCAAUGGGUCUGUGCUCUGGGCACUUCCCUGCUGGCUCUGCACAGGAGGGCUUGGUGGACGUUGGACAGUGCACAGCACAUCCACCCCGGAGCAGAAGAAGCGGAAGUUGUGAGCCUUUACUGAAACUUGCCGGCCUGCAAGCAGAGUGGCUGGUGGAGUGGAAUUCAAAGCGUUGCAGCCAUCACCUCUAUGUCCUGCCUAGAUCUCACAAGUCUGGGUCAGGGGACAGGGCACUCAGCUGUCCAAACUUGUUCCUACCGGAGACAUGUCACACUCACUGCCUGUGACUGCUAAAGAGCUGACCUAAGUAUCCCAAUCCCAUCUCCGUUAUCUACUCAUUCAUUUUUCUCUUCUUCAUCAAAACAGUUGACCCCGCGAGGUUAAGAUGUCUCCAACCAGCAGACUUGUCUUUAACCUAUUUAGAACACCCAGUUUCAAUUUUUUUCUUAAUUUCCUCUAUGAGGGCCCAAUUUUUCUCAUCUGCUGAAAUAUUAAUAAUGUAUAUUGUAGGCUCAUUUCCUCCUUCUCUUGCUUUUAUCCUCGUACAGCAUGUUCUUAAUACAGACAUUCCUCCACAAGUAUG